UGGUGAUGUGACUAAGUUCUAGCCAGUGGUUUGCAAGCAGUUGUGAGGAAGUUUCCUUGAAGAGAAGGAAUGUUCCUUUACCUUCCCCUUCCCUUCUCGCUGCAAUCUGGAAAGCAGACGUGAUGGCUGGUGUUGGAGCAGCAAACUUGGCCUUGAAGUGACCUCGUAAACCUGAGGGGACCACAGCAUGGAAGGUGCCGCUUCACGACACUGUGGAGUGUUAUACUAACUAGAGGACUCUAUCUCUGGAUAUCCUAUCUCUGGAUUUGUGGUGACAAACUUCACUCUCAGGACUAAUAGCAGAAUGGAGAAGACAGAAAAAAAAAAAUCAGUGAAUGUAAAAGUUCACCAGUAGAAAUGUUCCAAUCUGAAGAAGAAGGAGAGAAAGAUUUCUUAAAAAAGAACAAGCCCUCUAGGAUUUGUAGGACAAUAGCAGACGUCUACUGAUGUCUGAGAAGAAAGGAGAGAAAUGAUGGGGCAGAAAAAAUAUUUGAAGAAACAGUGACUGAAAAUUUCCCCGAUCUGCUGAAAGUCAUGAAUUUAUAGAUUCAAGAAAUCCAGUGAACCCCAAGGAAAAUAAACGUAAAGAAAACCACAUCUGGAUGCAUUAUAGUCAGAAUACUGAAAACUAGAGAGAAAGAGAAUAUUUGAAAGCAGCGAGAGAAAAACAACACAUUACGUAGUGGGCAACAGUAAUUUUGACACCCACAGACUUCUUGUGAGAAAACAUGGAGUACCAGAAAAUAGUGGAACAACAUCGUUAAAGUACCAGAAGGAAACAUUGUCAACCUAGAAUUCUAUAUACAGCAAAUAUAUCCCUCCAAAAAGAAAGCAGACACUCUUUUACAAUGCCAGCAGAUCUUCACUGGAAGAAAAGCAAAACAAGUUCUUCAAGCUGGUGGGAAAUUAUACCAGAGGGAAACUUGGACCCCCAGAAAGGAAUAAAGAACACCAGUAAUGGCAGUGUGCUCCUGAAGGGACCAUCUCUCUACUGAGUUCCCAGGCUUGAGGACAGAAUUGGAUGCUUAUGGCAUGGUCCUGACCAAAUGCAGAACAUCCCAGAAUCAGCACCCAGGAGGACACAGCCGUCACAGAAUCCAACCUGACAAAUGUCUCAGUCUCCCUUAAUAGAAAUCUCUCAUCUAAGAUUAGUUUUUAAACAGAUUUCUUAAGGUAAUUAACGUGCACAUUAUAUUUUUAAAAACUUGGCCAUUAAAAGUCAGCCUUCCUCCUAUCC